rnacentral:rRNA from 1 species
AUGAGUGUGUGCACGGAGAACUCAGUCCACAUCACGAUUUCUGAUCAUCAAGGCAUAGUGAGCCAUGUUAGGUUCGGCGAGCGAGCCCUCGUUUGUUUCCAUCAUCGUCCUCCAAACCAAACCAAGCCAAACCAAGCCAAAAACCACACGAAAAUACCACCAUCACUAACCGAACUUAGCAACAGCAAAUUGGCAACUCAAAACAGACGAUAUCUAUAUAUACUAAGGGUCCAUGCGAUUGAAACUCAUGCGAUCGGACCAAAAACACAAGCGAAUGCAGAAGAGGAGGAGGAGGAAGGAGAGCUUGCAAGAAGCUAUGGCACGGGGAGGGAAGGCUACUGGAUCGGAUAA